GGAGAGGUACCGAAGUGGUCAUAACGGGGCCGACUCGAAAUCGGCUGUACGUCUAAUAAGCGUACCGUGGGUUCGAAUCCCACCCUCUCCGCCA
rnacentral:tRNA from 3 species